AACGAACCUAUAACUUCUAGAGCCAGUGGAAGGCCAUUAGCAUAACCCACAACUUGCUUGGAUAGUUCCACGAAAUCUUCAGCAGGUUGGUCAUUUUUGAAAGCUUUUUGGCUAAACAACAUAAGAGCAUCAUCAUCAUUCAAUUUCUCAGCCUCAUAAAUUCUAGCAACACCAUUUCUAGUCAACACUUGUCUAUCUCUGCUUGUUAUGAUAAUUCUGCUCCCUGGACCAAACCAUUUACUCUCUGCAGCCAGGGAUUCUAGUUGUUUACGGUCAUCUACAUCAUCAAGAACAAUAAGAAUCUUUUUACGUUGUAACUUCCGCUUUAUCAUUUCAAUACCUCUAGAAGAAUCACAUAUAUUAGCACGUUUCAUUAAGAUUUCAGAAACAAGUUGUUCCUGUAAACGGCGAGGUCCAUCUUUCUCAUCAAAAACUUCUCUGACAUUUGCUAAGAAGCAGCUGCCUUUAAAUUGCCAACGAAACCUAUCAUAUACUACCCUUGCAACAGUCGUCUUACCUAUGCCUCCCAUUCCACAAAUCCCAAUGAAUAUUGCUUCGCCAACUUCUUCACCUAUAUAACCAUUUAAUAUCUCUAAACGAGAAUCCAUUCCAAUUAAAUUUUUGCUAACUGGCAUAGUGACGCUUAGUUUGUAUGAUAUGUAUUCAGCAAUUAUUUCAAUUGAUUCUGAUUCAUUCCUGCAUAGGAUGGUGCAAAACAUUAAUCAUGUUGUGUGCAAAUCAAAUAAGAUAGUGAUAAUGAGAAAAUAAAUAUUAGCAUAUUAUAGCUCGAAAAUGUAUGGCUGUUAGCCAUAAAUUAAUACAUCAAUCUUUGAGAAAGAUAGGGCUCUGACAAUAGAUAGCUUCAAGAACAGAGAGGAAAAGGAAAGAAUAAACUGAAAAAGGAACUAGGAUUGUAUUGAUGCUAAGAACGAUCCGUACAAUAGCUAUCUUAUUGCAUAUAGAAUCACACAGCCACUAAAGAAGCAUGCAUACAAGAACAAAAACUCUUUAUCAAGUUUGAUUUUAGCAGACCAAAAGCAAAUGUAGUUCUAUCAUAUUUUUUGUCGACCACUAAGUUAUUUUUAUAAUUAUUUUUAAAAAAAUUUCAAUUACCUUGCAUAGUAAACUUUUAAAAAACAACUUUAAAUUUAUUAAUUUUCAAGUUUUUUCCCAUCCUAGCAUAGCCCAAAAUGUUGGGUGGAGAAACCACUGGUGGUGGCUUUGAAACACUCAGAGGGGAUAAAACACAAAGUUUUAUUUCAAGAAUAAGAAGCUUACAAUAAGAAAAUAACACAAAAGCUUAAUACACGCCCUCUCUCUUUCUUUCUAGUGUUUAUCUCUAAUCUCUCCACUAAUAAUAGCAUAAGCUCAGCUGACUAUUUAUACACAAAGUGAAAGUAAGAAAAAUCUCAAAAUAUCACGUGUGAAGGUGACUGGUGGCAAGGCGGUUGGGCGGUUGACAGCUGGUGAUUGCCUUCCUUGACCUUCUAGAUAGAUUGAGUUUAAUACAGCACAAAAAAACAUUUCUCAGAUCAACAUAGCUUAAGUGGUUGCGCAAAUUCAAUCCACGCACCUUGAGACACACAAAUAUCACAUAUGCGUCACACAACUCAAAUUUUUGUCUGACGCAUAUAGCACACACGCUAGCAACUCAAAUUUCUUUGUGUUUGUCUCUUGUAACACACACACUAGACAUCAUUUUUUUUGGUGCUACACGUGCCAGUAAAUGAGCAUGCCGUUGUCUCUAGACCACGCAUGUCCUCACAUACUACUUCAUUCUUGGCUAUCUUUAGCUUUUAUGGAUCCGUCUCAUCGAACUCUUUUCGAUGUACUAAGGGUUUCAUUUUUGAAGAUUUAAUAUGUCUCCAACAUCUCAUUCCUUCUUUUUUUCUUUCUUUCUUUUCUCCCUUCAACUUUGAUUAUUGUGGCAACCCAUUUCUUUUUCUUUCUUCUCUACUUAAUCUCUUAUUUGGUCCCUCAAUUUUUAUAUAAUGUUAAUUUAAUUCCAUUAGAAUGAUCAUUUCAUUAAUUAAACUUAUUUUUAUUUAAGUUGGGCAAAAAAAUAACAGUAUUUUAGGCAAAAAUUAACUCUUUUUUAGCAAUCACCUUCAAAAUAAAUAUUAACUUCAGUUAAUAUUCUUUUUUUUUGCAAAAUAAUGGAUGAAAUAAUCGUAAUAAUAGAACUAAAGUUAACUAAAUAUAAAUAUCGAGGGACCAAAUGAAUAUACGGGCCAAUACAAAAAGAAAGGGAUAUUUUGUUGACACGUAAGACCUGCGUGUCUCAAGUUGCGUAAGUGAGACCUCUACAACUGGUGAAACAGUUCUAGUUUGGAAAGUUUUUUUACCCACCUAUACUAGUUUGAAAUUUUAUUAUUUGAUCUAUUAAAUAAUAGAAAUUCCUUUGUCCGAACAAGCAAAUUUUACAUCAAUUUUAUCCUUCCUAAAAAACACCUAACAAAUUUUAAUUUCAAUUUUUUUAAAAAAAUAAAAAUAUUCACAAAAAAUAUAUAAGUUAUAAUUAAUUUGUCUCUUUUAUUUAUAAAUAGUUGGAAUUUUUUAAUUCAUGAUGGAAAAUCCUUUUAUUUUAUUUUGAAAAGCUAAAACCAAUAUAUUCAAAAACUUUAGUCUAUUUUUUUUCUUAUGAUGAAUUUAUUGUCAUUUCUUCACAAUUUUUAAUUUUUUAAGCUAACUUUUUAUUUGUUCAUGCUAGAUUUGUUUUCAACUUUCUUUUACAUUUUCAUUUUUCUAUCUAAUAUUUUUUUUUAUUUUCAAAAUAUAAAGAAAAACCGAAGAAAAGAAAGAAAUUUUACGUAAAGAUUAGAAAUGCUUGAUCACAUAAGAUCAAGAUUUCAUAAAAAUUAAAUUAAAAAAAGCAUGCAUAUGAAAAAAUAUACAUUUACUACUAAAGCAUUUGCUAUUUGAUUUAUCAUUCAUUGAGUAUUAUUUACCAUCUUUUGAUUAACAAAACUCAAAGAACACUAAAGCAUUUGCUAAUUGAUUUGCGAUAAAGAAUAUAAUUUUUCUAGUGUGAACAAAACAUUCAAAAAAGAUAAUAAUAAAAAAAACAAACGAUUUUCAUUGGUAAAUAAAUGGAACAUUAGCAAAAAUUUGAGAAUUUUUUUUAAUUUUUGUUCAAUUUUUAUUUUAAAAAAACUGUAACCAUUGAAAUUUGAAACUAUUUAAUGGAUAAAAGGGUCGUUAAAUAGCUAUUUAAUGGAUAAAAAAUAGCUAAAAGGGUCGUUAAAUAGCUAUUUAAUGGAUAAAAAAUAUAUACUAACAAUUAUUUAUUCAAGAAUUAGUUUUGAUAUUCUUGUUGUAUUGUUAUUAUUUUGAUAUUUAAUCACUGUAAGGUGGAUUUGAGAAUAAGAAUAUGUAAAUAGAUGAUUUACCUCUUCCGUACGUCCCAGCCAGAUAGAUUGGUCACCGUAGAGAGACAAUCUUUCCAGAUCCAGACCUUCUCCAAAUUUUCCUUGAAAUUUUGUUCAUGCUCAACGAAGGCUUUCUGAUAUUGCCCUUUCCGCUCGGCUACCUCUGAGGGAUCCACAUCAUAAAAAACUGGCAGAACAGUGUGCCCCAUCUCUUUCAUGCACUGAACAAUCUUGACAAGUUCAUCCAAGCACCAUGGUGAAGAAGCGUAAUCUCCUGAAAAUAUAAUGACUGAAAACCUUGAUUCUUCGAUGGCCUUCCAGAGAGCAGGUUCGAUGGUCUUUCCUCUCUCGAGCUCCCUAUCAUCCAUGUAUACAUCGAUGCCUCUCUGAGCCAGAUUAGAAUAUAAAUGACUAGUAAAGUUGUUCCGGGUGUCUUUGCCUCUAAAACUAAGGAACACAUCAUACAUAUAUUGUGGAGGAGAAGAAGAUGAAGAAGAAGAUGAGGUUAUUCCUUGCACGCUGGUGGAAGCCAUGAAAAUCCCUAUAGCGAUAAAUUAGUACCGUUCCCUUCUAGCCUCAACUAGCUCGCUUGGUUCAGCAAUUGCUUUCCACGCUAUUUUGUGUAAGGCCUGCUCCUGUGGUCAAACAUGAAACAGAAGGUAAGAUCAAGAAAUUUGGCAAUUAAAUCUACCAAUUAGCAAUUUCAAGCUGGAACAAGUACAAUUCUACUUAGAAAUCAGAAAACACCGAAUUUCUACCAAGUAUUACUCGAAUCUAGACGAAACGAACCGCGUGGUUAGUGUUGACUAAAGAGGCACAAGAUCUAGCCAAGCCCAAUAUUUUUUUUACUUCUGGUAUCUUAGUAACCAACUUCCAAAGCCCUUUUCUUUCUUUUUAUUCCAAUGACUUCGAUUUUUUUCCGGUUUCUUUAGAUCAAGAACUCCUACCGAUAAGUUUCAUGGAUUUCUUACGGAUCCCUUUCUUACACUGUAAAGAAGAUGGACUUUUGGGGGAGAAAAAGUCAAAAGAUAUGAAAGGGAAAGCGAACGCGCAUUGGGCAGCAGAGUCAAGAGCAGGGAUCGGGCCACAGACAUCACAAUUGAGUUGAUUCAUGUUUUGUAAUGAAUUCUCAAGUCAAGCAUCUAUGUUUAAAAAGUAAAUAAGGACAUUUUACAUACAAUAAAAAGUAAUUAAGUUGAUCCUUGAUCAUUAUAUAGUUUAAUCAAUUUAUUCCUAUUUUUUAAGAAAUUAUAAUUUAUAAUAACAUUUUAUCUCCUCAUUAUCAUGUGAAAAAAAAUCAACAAAAAAUAUCUAAUUAUAUACAAAAAUUAUUAUUAUUUUCAAACUAAUAACUAUAAAUCUCUUAUAUUAAAUAUUAUAAAUUCUCAUUAAUUUUUUUUAUAAAAAAACCAACUCAGCCUGGUCCUUAUUAACUAAACCUAAUUAACAACAAACGAAAAGAAAUUCAUAUUAAAUUGAGUUUAGAAUCUCAAACUUUAAUAUUUAAUUUUAUCACAGACAACCCAACUUUGAUUUUUCCCGAUCCCUAAAACCAAUUCUUCUCUUAUUGCCAAUAUCUCAUCUCAAACCUAGUGAUUGAUUUUUAAAGUUUUAUUUUUGAAAAAAUACAUCAAAAUAAUUUUAAUAUUAUUUUUUAAAAAAUAUUUUUUAUAUAAACAUAUUAAAACAAUCUAAAAACAUAAAAAAAUAAUUUUAAAAAAUUCAAAUUUCAAAACAGGUCUAGAACCGCUUUUCCAACCAACUUUUUGGGAUAUUGAUUUGAAUCUCUUCUAUUUUCAAAAAUUCGGUUGUGUAGAAAUAAAUCUCUGUAAGCACUCUGCUACACUAGGAUUAUUCUUGGGAUGCCAACACUACUUUUAUAGAAGGGCCUUAUUGAAAGACUUAAUUUCUUUAAAACUCAUGCCCCCGUAAGCUUUGAUUUUAAGAGAUAUUUUCAACUUCUCUGGUGCACCUUUCAAUUUUUCAUAGAUUUAUAAAUUUCCAAUAAAAAACUGGGAAGGAAUUUGAUACACAAGAUCAUGUAAUUUGGUAUUGCCGCCGUACCUUUCUUACUUGUGGUGUCAGUUUUUGCUUCCACGAUUGGAGUUUUUCUGUAUUUCUAUCAAUACAAAAACCCCAAUUCUUGAACUCCCUCACCUUGUCGGAAUUCUUAACCAAUGAACCAGCCGCUCUGUCACCAUUGCAACGGCCCCUCUCCUCCAACUUUAUUAUUUUUUAUGAUUAAAUCAUGUUUAGGCAUAUGACAAUUUAAUUAUAAAAUAUUUUCAGAAAAUUCACUGAAAAAGAUAAAACAAUGUUAUUUGCCCAACAACUUUAAAAUAUUAUUUGGAAUAUACUUUUAUACUUAAAAAAAUAAUAAAAAAUAAAGAAUUGAUUAAGAGUUAAAAAAGGCUUUAAACAACAAAUUAAAUAAAAAAGAUAAAAUCAAAAAAAUAAAAUUGAAACCAUCAAGUCCAACCAAUUGAAGGAUAUCUCAAAAUCAAUAAUCAAAUAAAAGCAUUAGUGAGGAAAGGGAUAACAAUAUGGAUGGGCUAAUAGAAGAAUGGUUGGAUUAAUAAAUUUCAAAGUUGAGAGAACUUAAUUAUUAACUUGUGAUAGCGGUUGUUUUUUUAAAGUUUUUUUUAUUUAUAAAUAUAUAAAAAUAAUAUUUUUAUUUUUGUUUUUUAAAUUUUAUUUUUGACAUCAAUAUAUUAAAAGAUCCAAAAAAAAAAUAAAAAUUAAUUUUAAACAAAAUAAAAUAAAAUUUUAUAACACACAAUGUUUACUGCAAAAACAAAAAGACAAUUGAUAAUAUAAGAACUCUAAGGCUCAUCCUAUAUAACGAAAGGAAAUCCCAGCCACUCAUCUCCCGACACUUUCUACACAUAAUUAAGAUAGCAUAGACGAAGACUCCAAGAGAUAAUCCAAUAUUUCUUCCUGCUGAGCUGUUAAUUGAGCAGUACAGACCCUGACAAAGAAGGGUAAUGGAUGCUGAAAAUUUUCAUUGAUCAAACCGGAUCAUUCCUGAAGAUUUUGAUUUGGAUUUUUAUAUAGACAAUCUAAAUACCCGAACCAGUUCAAAAAUCUAACCUAGAGAGACCAUGUUAUAGGAUACAGAUGGAAAAAAUGAUUUAUUGUCUCAAUUUUCUUGCAACGAAAAAGGCAAAGAGCUUUCUUAUAAUUAAUAAUCCUCCUCUCAACUAAAAAACAUUUUGUAUUGAGGUUGCCAUUUAGAAGGAACCAUAUGCACACAUCCACUUCUGGAGGGGCAUGCCCUUUCCAAAGCAGAAUAGGGGGGGAGUGAUUUUCUUUAGCCGAGAGACUAUUAAAGAAGAGGCAUCUUGAGUGAAUUGAGUACAUGCCGGAAUUGUGGAAUUUCUAUAUCUUGCGGUCUUCACCAUUAGAGAAGACAAGACCAUGUUGCAAGAACAUGUUGUGCUAUGGUUUCUUCAAUGGUCAGAAAAUCAACGGCCACCAUCGAUGGGCAUCCAAACACCUUUUUUCAUCAUUUCCACCUAGCUCCUUCUAAUCUAUUAUAAUCCAAUUUAAUUGCUCUUAAAUUAAUUGAAAUCAAUUUUUUGAAACAAAAAUAUAUCUAGGCUUCGAUCUAUCUAUAGUAAAACAUCAUGGUCUUUUAUUUCUUUAUUAAUUUUAAUCUUAAUUAAUAAUAAUAAUAAUAAUAAUGUUGUUGUUAUUAAUUUAUAAUUUCUAAUAUACUAGUGCUUGUAUAACAAAACUGAAUCCAACCUCUUGGAUAAUGUAGCCACCAUAGCUUGAACACUAAGUGCAAACUCAUAAAAAUGGUUCUCGAUCCGUCCAAUAAUGAAAAUUCUUAAAGGCUUAGCAUCACCAUUAACAUAGUCUUUAUGAUUCAGAUAGUUACUCACCCAGACCAAUCUACACGUAUAUAUAUAUACAUAUACAUAUACAUAUAUAUAUAUAUAUAUAUAUAUAUAUAUAUUAUUUUCAAGUUGGAUGAAAACAAGCAAUAAACAAGGAAGUAACUUGACCAACAUAAUCAUUGAAAGUAAUUCAUACAAUUCGUUGAAUAAAAAGCUAACCCUCCACAAUUCACAGUACUCGUUCACAGUAGUAAUCACCCACGAUCAAAAUAAGAAGAAUAAGUCCCACCAAUUUUAUAGCUCCUACAUAUUUUUUAUUAAAAGAUUGAUCUUAAGAAAAUUAUAAAAUUAACUGAGAUUAAAAAAAACAUUAAAUUAAAUCCAAAAAACAUUCCUCGCCGCUACAACCCUUCAUUUUCACAGCUCCAUCCUGGUAACAAAAUAUAAAAUGUUUUUUUAAGAAAAAACAAUUAUAAAAAGUUUAAUUAAAUUCCAAACACAAUUUCAACCAUCAAUACAAACAUGACGGAUUCCUCUAUCAUCAAACCAUUUUUUUUUAUAAAAAUUCAAAUAGUAAAUAAAAAAAUUCAAAACAACAUAAAAAAUGGAUUCUUUUUAAUUAUCCAAAAACAAGAGAAUUUGGGUUAGUGAGUUGUGAGGGGUUAAUGAGUUUGAGGGAUCGUAUAGUAUACUAUUAUUUUGUCCAUACCAUUGAUCUCUCCGUGGCUAACAAUGUUAUUUGCCCAAUAACUUUAAAAUAUUCUUUGGAAAAUACUUUUAUACCUCAAAAAAUAAUAAAAAAUAAAGAAUUGAUUAAGACUUAAAAAAGGCUUUAAAAAACAAAUAAAAAAGAUAAAACCAAAAAAAUAAAAUUGAAACAAACAAGUCCAUCCAAUUUUUUCUUUCCUUCAUUUAUAAUUACAUGUUUAUUAAUUAAAAAUUAUGCAACAUAAAUUUUAAUUAUGAGACCGAGUAAAAUAAAAAUGAAAAAACACAGUAUACAUAAUUAUAUAUACAUAAAAGUCCUCGGCACUGCAACUACUACAUCAGCGGCAUCACCCUCUUUGGGAUCUUGAUUUUCAUCGGAUUAGCACACAACACAUCAAUUUGGCUGGAAAGGACUGCCAAGGUACUGUGAUUCUGAAUAAUUAUUUUGCUAUGCAUCAAAUAAUUGUGGCUGCAGCUGAUAAUCCACCUGGUUCGACAUCAAAUGAUAAUUCACAUCGUUUUUUGAUGAAUUGUGCUGCAAGUGGUAGCUGACUUGGUUAACCGAAUACGCUGUGGACCAUUUCAUUUAAUUGGGGUUCCUGUUCAUAGUCUGGGGGUGACUGCGAAUGCAACGCCAUGUGCCUGAUGUGAUUGCAAUUUUGAGGUAGUUGGCUGGUUGAAGUUAAGAUGAUUAUUAGGGGUGUUUAUUGUCCUAUCCGGAACAAAUUGAAAAUCAAUUUAAAUUAAACCAAUCUAGUUUGAUUCAUUCAAAAUCAAGAAACCAAACAGCUUGAUAAGACCUGCAAAAAGCAAAGGGAUAAUUUGAUAUUACAGUUAGGAUAAUCAAAGAAGAAAAAAGAGUAAACCCUACAAAAGAAAAAUAGCAAAAAAAGGAAAAAUUUAAUUAAAGGAAGUUUACUUUUCAAAAAUAAAAAAAUAAAUAAAAAUGUUUAUUUUCUAAUAUAAUUUCAAUUCAGAAAAAAAAACAAAAAAAAAAAAGUCAUCUCAAUGGAACAACAUAAAAAAGCAAGAGAAAAAUUUGGUCAUAAGUGCAUGCAUGAAUGAUCAAUGUUAAUAUUUCUUUUCAAAAGCUUCAAUGUAGAAAAAUCUAUAGAAUAGGAAAUAAUAAUGGGAAUAUAAUAAUAAUAAUGACUAGUCUAUGACUUGAUCUGGUUCAAUUGGUUUUAAAAUUUUAAAACUGAAACUAAACUGGAUAGAAAGUAUUUUUAUUUUCUAAUUAGUUUAUUGAGUUUUUCUUCUUAAUUUGAUUUUUUCAGUUGAUUUUUUUUUGUUUAAUCAAUUUUUCAGUUUCCUUGAAUAUCCCUAACGCUUAUUAUACUGAAACAUGCAAGGUUGUAAAGCGCAUAACAAUCCUGCACAUUUGUGCAUCCCUUGAGUUCUUUUUCAUUCAAAUUAUACUCUUUUGAUCAGUAUUCCUAGUUAAGCACAAUCACAUUAAAUAAUAAAUAAUCAUCAUUUUCUUGUACUAUCUAAGUAUUACCUUAUUUGCAGAAACAAUUUAGCUUUCAUUUACAAAUCAUUUUCAAAAGAAGGAAAAUUGAAAAACAUUCAGCUUAUUUACAAAUCAUUUUCAAAAGAAGGAAAAUUGAAAAACUCUGUUUCUGGCCUCUCAGCUAAGCUGGUAAAAUCUACACAUGUGAUAGCAUGUGAAGGUAUACAAAAUUAUCAGUAUGAGAUUUUGUUCAAAGAACAUCACAUGUUAGUACCAAAAGAUGAUUUAGUUCAAACAAUAAAAUAUGCAUCAGUAACCAUGCAAUGCAUCUAAUAUGUAUCCGCAUGACCUCAAAAACUGGUUGUAGCUGCUUCCUAGGUGCCCUCUUAACUGCUUCACGUUGCUGUUUAGCACCAUGUAUCCGCAUGACAUACGAUGGUAAGAACAAGUGAGCUCCUUUAUCAUAACUGCAAAGGGCAUUGAGGUUAUGCUCGACACGAGUAAGAGAGCUAUGACACAAUUAUCUAAGAAGAGCUUAGAACACACCAAAAAGCUACUUAAAUGCCAGGUCCUGAUUUGUUACUAGAAGCAAUAGUGGUGUUAAGAGUUGCUACAACUACAUGGGAACCAGAAUCCAACCACAAACUCAUUAAAUUCCAGAUUAAAGUAGCGUAUGCAAGGAACAUGUACGAAGAAGUUGUUGUUUGGUGGGAGAAACCACUGGUGGUGGCUUUGAAACACUCAGAGGGGAUAAAACACACGGUUUUAUUUCAACAACAAAAAGCUUACAAAAUAAACAAAAACUCUUAAUACACGCCCUCUCUCUUUCUCUCUAGUGUUUCUUUCUUCUCUUUCCACACACAGUAACAUAAACUUAGCUGCCUAUUUAUACAUAAAUUGAAAGUAAGAAAAAAUCUUAGUUGGCGGUGGUGUGAAUACGGCUGGCGGCUGGCGGUUUGAGAAGUUGCUGGCGGUGAAUGCAGGCGGUGACUGCAAGCGGUGGUUGUCGUCUUUGACUUUCUUGGAUUGAGUUUAUUGCAACAUUUAUAUCUUCCAAAUUUGAAUACAAGGAUCUAAAAUUAAUUUUAGUGGGGACUAUGCUAAUGUGCCUCCUGCAACUUGCAUGGUGAUUGAGUGAAAGAGCCAAGACCCUCUAUAAACUUGCUAGUAAACAAAGUGCUCUUUCCCCAAAACCAAUUCAUGAAAUGGUUUUCAUCUGAUGCUCAAUCUGAUCAAAUUAAGAUAUUCAGAGUGCAAUCACUGGUUUAAAUCUUUUCUUUUUGUAGAGAGAAAGUGUGUCCAGGAAUCUUAGUCCUAAUGGGCAAUUUACAACCAAAAGCGCUAGGGAGCUUAUCAGAUUGGCAAUAGGUUGAAUGGCAGAAGCUGCUAUAGAGGCCUCUUCAUAUUCCAAAGCAUGUGUAGUUUUUCCAAUGAGGAUUGUGAUCACCUAUUCAUGAAAAACUUAACCAAAGCCCAUGAAAAACAUAUCCUAACUAACUUGCCGAACAAUAAGGUUAAAAAAUCUCAGUUUGACUGCAGAGAUCCGUCUGUGCCAUUUCUCCCAUGUAAUCAUCUGUUUUCUCCUUGCACUUCUGGCACAUUUGAAAUUUGAAAUAAAUACCUAUAUAUGAAUCAUCACCUAUAGAAACUAAACUACCUCAAUCAAGUUCUCUAUUUACUAUCCUAAUCCUAAAUUAACUACAUGUCUGACCUCACAUGAAAACAACAAUUCGAUACUCUUAUCUUUUCUUGCGCUGAAAUAAUCCACCACAGCAUCCUUGUAGAAAACCUAACACCUUUUCUUUCUCUAUAUUUUAUCUCUAACUGCCAACCAUUCUUUUCCAUGAAGUAUACCUCUCCCUUUGACAUCAAAAACAUUAUCAUAAAGUGUUGGGGAUUCCGCCUCCCCCAUGCGCGGACCGGGGGUGUACUAAUAGUUGCUCAACGGAGGGUAAAGCACACUGACACAAUAUUUUACGUGGUUCGGCAAAUUGCCUACAUCCACGGGAGAGGUUCAUUUUAUUAGAGAUUAGAGAAAGGAUACAAAACAAAUAUAUAGAGGAGGAGGAUCACUUCACUCUACUCUACUCCCAGCUCAUCUUUACUGCACUUGCAGCUGCUGCAAUGGCAGCAAGGCUGCUGCCAUUGCAGCUCUCUUUCUCUCCACACUCUUGCACACACUCACGAUUCUCUCACUCAUUUUUCUCUCAAAUAUAAGCCUCCUUUAUAGGCAUUUCAUGGUCAACAUGGAGGGGCCAAUAGCCUUAAAGCAUGGCAUGAAUUGUGGCACAAUUCAUGCUUCCACUUGCUUAGUGGUGGGGUAUUGCCACAAAUGGCAAUAUCCUAACAAUCACCCCCUUUGCCAUUUGUGUGAGCAAUUGUCUUCUUGCUUCUUCAGCACAAGCUUGCAUCUUGCAGCUCUUCCAAGCUUACCAUUCUGAGAGCGUCUUCAACACAACAUUCCCUUUAAACCAUCAGCUCUGAUACCAAUUGUUGGGAUUCCGCCUCCCCCAUGCGCGGACCGGGGGUGUACUAAUAGUUGCUCAACGGAGGGUAAAGCACACUGACACAAUAUUUUACGUGGUUCGGCAAAUUGCCUACAUCCACGGGAGAGGUUCAUUUUAUUAGAGAUUAGAGAAAGGAUACAAAACAAAUAUAUGGAGGAGGAGGAUCACUUCACUCUACUCUACUCCCAGCUCAUCUUUACUGCACUUGCAGCUGCUGCAAUGGCAGCAAGGCUGCUGCCAUUGCAGCUCUCUUUCUCUCCACACUCUUGCACACACUCACGAUUCUCUCACUCAUUUUUCUCUCAAAUAUAAGCCUCCUUUGUAGGCAUUUCAUGGUCAACAUGGAGGGGCCAAUAGCCUUAAAGCAUGGCAUGAAUUGUGGCACAAUUCAUGCUUCCACUUGCUUAGUGGUGGGGUAUUGCCACAAAUGGCAAUAUCCUAACAUAAAGAAUUCCAUAGCAAUCCCUAAAUUCUCCUGCCUGUGGCAAUAAUGUUAAUUUUCCGGUAUUAGACAUGGCUGUGAUUAGCAAAUGCUCUUCAAUGUUUAAAGACAGUGUUCUCUGUUUUGUUGACAAAACAUUCCAUCUCAUAUCUCACAUUCACCAUGUUUUCAAUAAACACCAGAAAGACAAUUAGUUUCCCUUCCAAUGGAGGUUACAGAAAUGGAGAGGCAGAGUCUUGAAACAUGCUGAAAUGUUAAUUUCAAUUAACUAAAAUUGGGAUUGGAAUUCCAGUCUUUAUAAUCAGAGAUUCAUCCCUUCAUCUAUUAUACCAUUUUAAGCAUUUAACUUGACAUGAAAAUUGAAAACAGCUCCAGGCAUCAAGCAGAAGUAACCAAAACACUAUGUUAAUAUUUCUGAACUUGGAAUAUAUCCAACUAAAAAAUAUAAAAUUAAAACAAGACAAUCGAGGAAAAACUGUAAAUAUAAAACAAGUUAACAUACCCUCUCCAUCUAAGUGGUGGCACCAACAUUGGCAUAUAAGGAAUCACCAUGUGCCUAGCCUGUUUGGAGAAACAACAUUUUUAUGACUUCUUUUGCAAGAAAAAAGAAUGAAAGACAAACAUCUGCAACUUAAGAAGCACCAUGGAAAUUGACUACAAUUCUUACCUGUUUCAGCUCUAAAAUCUAGAAACUAACCUAUCUGCUUUGAAAGUAUAUGGCACCCCGACACAAGUUCAUGUCAUAAAGGAUGAUAAAAUAUGAAAACUAGAUAUCACUAGAAGAACAAAAUUUGACAGGGUCACAUUGAAUAACAACAUAUUUUGUUUGUAACAGCAAUUCAAUUAGAAGGCUUCCAAGCUGCAAAGUGCAAGGACAGAAAUCAAAUUCGUACACGAUACAUUUGUUCAAGAAAAUUAGCCUUUAUCAAUGAUUACAAGCACACAAACCUUAGCCCUAGCAUCUGCAUUCCUUGGUUUUGAAUCAUCCUUCCCCUUCACAAUCUUCCUCACAGCUGGCAGCUUUUAUUUUUUAAUCAAAUCAGUAACCUUUUUUCUUAGGUUUUCUUGUUCCUUCAUGACAGCAGGGGAUUCACCUUCUACACCAUUCUUGCUAUCAUCAGCCCUUUCCUUUUUCUUCCUUGUUUUCUCCAAGAUAUUGUGUAUUCUAAUCUGUUUCAUCACGGAAACUGUUACAGAUUCAGUCCUCAGUUCAAAGAAAGAGAACAAGACUGAAGAGUUAGGAGGUCCCAAAAAUGGAUUAAGAAUGGUACACCUAAAUAUCUCUUCAUUGUAUAGUUCUCUCUUUUUAAAGAAAAAAAGGAAAAGAAAAGAGGAAGCAACUCCCAUAGUCAGAAGAGACAGUAGAGCAAAGUGUCACGCAAGCCUUUAAAGUCUAAACUAAGAGAAAAACUUAAUCAACUUACAAAACAAAGGCACAAACAAGAACACACAUAAUUGAAAUGAUAAAGAUAAUUGUUGUCCUCAACAGGGAAAUGCAAAAGUAUAAAUCCAUAGUGAAACAAUGUCCAAACAUGAGAUGAGCUCUGACAAAGGAAAGUUGAAAUGUCACCCUUAUAAGUCCACCAUGUCCAUGCUUUGAAGAAAUUUUAGCUCCAAAAAGAAAGUUUAAUACAGCCUAAUAAGGCCCGUGAUAUGAAAAGUUUAAUACAUAAUGACAAAAUUGUAAAAACUUGGUAUCUAAAGGAUCUUACACUACAUUGUUUUUCCUACCUAUAUUUAGUGUCCUCCCUGGAACUAUGAACAGCAGAAGAACUUGGACUGAGAGUAAAAACUAUAGAUAUAUAAGAAAGAAAUCCAGAAAAACCCCAUUCAACAUUCAACAAAACUUUAUGGAACGUAACUUCAAAAUCUAAUUUUCCAGGCACUACUAGCUCCAUAGCUGAUUUUUAUCUCAUAAUUGUACAUAGAAACUUUCAUCUUUCUUCCUAGUUCAUCACCUCGGAUGAAGGUUGUCUAAAAGUAAAUUUAAGAAACUUUAUGUUUUCCCUUAUCUUUCAAUAUUUUUAUACGGGCACUCAUUAUCCUCUGUCUACAAAUCAAACCGCAAGUAAAAAUAAGCAAAUAAAACAUUAAAAAUUACAUAUCUCCUGCUCAAUUGCAUCACCAAUCAUACAAGCAGCAGUCACAACUCUUGCACAUCCAUGUUCCCCACCUGUCAUUACCAUUGCUGCGAGUUGAUGUGAAAAGGUAAUGCCUACACGGUAUGACGUGAGGAAAUCUUUAUUUAUAGAAUCUGUACAAUCAUAGAAAAGGAAAGCACAUAUACAGAAUAUGGAAAGCAAAUAUACAGAGUAAAUGAAUAGCUAUAAUUAUGGAGUAUCACUGAUCUCUUGGUCAUAAUUAGGGGAACCAGAUUUGUCUCUAAUAUCCCCCCUCAAUGUUGUCGUGGUGGAAAAAGGAAAAACACACAACUUGCCACGAUCCAAUAAGAACUGUAAUUUGGCCACCCCUUUUGUGAAGACAUCAGCUAGCUGGAGGUGUGAGGGGACAAAACAGAGACUAAGAGUCUUUGCUGCAACAAGUUCCCGAACAAAAUGAUAGUCAAUAUUAAUAUGUUUGGAGCGAGAUUUGGUGACAGGGUUGGAAGCAAUGAAAAUGGCACUGGUGUUGUCACAUAGCAAUCUUGGCGAAGAAGGGAGGGUGAUAUGUAGCUCACAAAGGAGUUGAAGCAUCCAGGAAAUUUCAGCAGCGACUGUUGCUAAAGCACGGUAUUCUGCUUCAGCACUUGAGCGAGCAACAGUGGUUUGCUUCUUAGAACACCAUGAGAUGAGACUUUGGCCAAAGUAAACAGCAUAGCCUGUGGUAGAGCGUCUGGUAACAGGACAACCAGCCCAGUCUGCAUCGGAAUAGCCAAUCAAAGUGGAAGAAGAAUGUUGUGAAAGUUGUAAGCCAUAAUGAUAAGUGCCUUUGACAUAGCGCAAAAUACGCUUUAAAGCAUGAAAGUGAUCUGUUGUAGGAGCAUGCAUAUAUUAGCAUAUAGAAUUAACACUGUAGGACAAAUCAGGCCGGGUAAGAGUUAAGUAUUGCAAAGCUCCUGCAAGCGACCAGAAUUGAGUAGCAUCACAGUGAGGAGUGCCAGAUUCUGUGAGAUGAGACCCAACCACAAAAGGAGUGGAAAUCGGUUUGUAAUCCACCAUGUCGGCACGAGUCAAGAGAUCAAGAGCAUAUUUUGCUUGACUCAGAAAAAUUCCUUUGUCAUUUCGAAUGACUUCGAUACCCAAAAAAUAGUGUAAGUCACCACGAUCCUUCAUGGAAAAUUCUUGGGCUAGACGAUUGAUGAGUGUACGAAGCAUAAGCUGAAGACUGCCGGUGAUGAUCAUAUCAUCUACAUAUAAGAGAAGAUAAAGAACACCAUGAGUACCAUGAUAAACAAAUAAUGAGGAAUCAGCACGACUUGCAAGAAAACCAAGGCCAAGCAAAAAAUGACUGAAAUGCUGGAACCAUGCUCGGGGAGCUUGUUUCAGACCAUAAAGAGCCCGUUGUAAGCAACAAACAUGAGAGGGAAACUCAGGAUCAAUAUAUCCAGGAGGUUGUUCCAUGUAGACUUCCUCCUGAAGGAAACCAUGCAAGAAAGCAUUUUUAACAUCAAGUUGACGAAGAGCCCAAUUAUGCAUGGCAGCAAGUGUUAAGAUAAGUCUAACAGUGGCAGGGCAAACAACAGGGCUGAAUGUUGCGUCAAAAUCAAUGCCAUGUUUUUGGGAGAAACCCUGGGCCACAAGACGGGCUUUGUGACGUUCUACAGAACCAUCUGCCUGAAGCUUCGUUUUGAAAAUCCAUCGACAACCAACAACAUUAUGAUUAUGUGGACGAGGAACUAAACGCCAUUUGUUAUUCUGCUUGAGAGCAGCAAUUUCAUCAUCCAUAGCAGAAAGCCAUUCAGGAUGCUUGAUGGCUGACUUAAAGCCACGAGGUUCCUUAAUUGCAAGAUGUGCCUGAAACCAAGAUGGAGAAGACAAAGCAGAUAACGAAUGAAUAGUGCGAGGCUUAACAAUAUCGUUCUUAGCACGAGUAACCAUAGGGUGAUUAAUGGUUGGUGAUGGAUUAGACGAAGAAGAAGAAGAAGGUAUGAUGUCCAAGGCUAUCACCAAAGAUGAGGGCGGUAAGAAAUCUUCUGAAAGUGGUGAAGGAAUGUGUGAAUCAGCACAAGGCACACAGGAGGUGGAGGCCAGGCGAGGAGCUGGAAUUACACUGGAAGUUGAAGUAUCACUAGACAAAGACGGGUCAGAAGAAUCAUCAAAAGUAAUAUAAUCGGUGCCACCUAAAAAAGGAAGAGGGGAAGAAGCGGAAGCAUAAGGAAAAUAGUUUUCAAAAAAUUGAACAUGACGAGAAAUGUAUACCCGAUUAGUUUUCUUAUCCAAGCAACGAAAACCUUUGUGAAGGUUACUAUAGCCAAUGAAAACACAAGGUAGGGACCUAGGAGAUAAUUUAUGAGGCAUGUAAUCACGAAGAAAAGGAAAACAAAGGCAACCAAAUGUACGAAGCAUGGAAUAAGAAGGAGGGUGAGAAUAUAAAGUUUCAUAAAGAGACUUACCAUCAAGAACUGGUGAUGGGAGGCGAUUGAUGAGAUAACAAGCCGUGGAAAAAGAGUCAACCCAUAAAUGUAAAGGCAUAUUAGAAUGAAACAUAAGGGUAAGACCAGUUUCAGUAAUAUGGCGAUGCUUUCUUUCAGCAAUGCCAUUCUGAUUCGGUGUAUAAGGACAAGCAAUUCGUUGUAUGAUACCAUGUGCACGAAGAAAUGAGGUAAAACGAUGAUUUGUAAACUCAGUACCACCAUCACAUUGAAAAGAUUUGAUUUGAAUGUCAAAUUGAGUUUGGACAUACUUAUGAAAAUGAACAAAUAUGUCAAAGAAAUCAGACUUAAGUUUUAAUGGAUAAAACCAACUAAAACGUGAAAAUUCAUCAAUUAAGACACAAUAAUACUUAUGGCCAGAUGGAGAAGUGAUCGGGGAUGGACCCCAUAAAUCACAAUGUAUCCGUUCAAAUAAAGAAUUACAUCGUUGAUCCACGUUAGAGAAUGGUAAACGAUGACUUUUGCCUAGUUGACAACCAAAACAAGGUUUUGAAUCAAUUGACCGAUUAUCAGAAACUGAAAUAGCACCAUGUUUAUUUAAAGAGGAAACAACACGAAAAGAGGGAUGCCCUAGUCGUGCAUGCCAAAUAAAGGAUGAAGCACGAAGAUUACAUGUAGAAAGACUAGAUAAAAAGGUUGCAUGGCCACGAUCAAGAACAUAAAGCCCGUUCUUACAUCGACCUACUCCCAUCACCUUUCUUGUUGUUAAGUCCUGUAUGAAAAAACCAGAAGAAGAAAAAAUGACUAAGCAAUUGUUCUCACGAGUAAAUUUGCUGAUUGACAAAAGAUUCUUAGUAAUGCUAGGUACAAGGAGAACAUCUGAUAAAGGUAAAGGAUGAGAAGCAACAAUCGAAUUGAUUUUGCCAAUGCGAGAAAUAGACAUUGAAUUACCAUUACCAACAUACACCCUUUGAUUACCAGUAUAAGGAACAGAAUUGUCAAGUGCAUUAACAUCAUUUGUCAUAUGCGAAGUAGCGCCAGUAUCAGUAUACCAUUCAGAAGUAGUAGAUGGAUCAAUGGAAGUAGCAGCAAAAACCUCAAGUAAGCCGUCUCCUUUGGCCUUUUUUAAUAACCUGUUAAGUUUGUGACACUUCUUAGCAGUAUGCCUCUCUUUAUUACACCACUGACAGGUAACAACCGAAGAUCUAGAAAAAUUUCCAGAAACGGAUGAAGAGAUGGCAGAUUUUGGGCGACCAGAUGCAGCACUGAAAGAAGAAACUCGGUGUGCAACAAAAGCUGACGGAGAAGAUAAAUCACCAUGAAGAGACCGAGAAAAAAGCUCAUGGCUGAGAGCUUGUGGUAUCAAAUUGGCAAAGGAAGGCAUCGGUAGCUGUGACAAUAUUGAUGUUGAAAAGAUUUUGUAAUCUGAUCCAAGACCACGAAGAAACCAGUGUACCUUAUCAGUGUCAUCAACAGCUUUGCCAAUAGCACUAAGUUGAUCACAAAGAGAGCGAAAGGAACGAGCAUAUUCAGUGACAGUACGAGAACCUCGUUGCAUCAGCUGGAGUUCAUCUUUCAGUUGAAUUUCUCGGGUCUUAGAACUGUGUGAAAAAGAAGCUUCAAGAGCUAGCCAAGCAUCACGAGAGGAAGAGCAAUCCACUACUUCAGCCAUACAUUCCUCAGUGAGAGAGGCAUAAAGAAGGCCGAGUAUAAGCCGAUCUUGUGUGUGCCAUUUUUUGUAAGAAGGAUUUGGUAGCAGCUCAGUACCCUGACGAAUCUGAGUUGAAGGUACUGGGAAAGACCCAUCCAGAUAACCCAGUAGAUCUUGACUUUCAAGUAAGGGUACAAAUUGACGACGCCACAAGAGGUAAUUUGUGGGAGUGGAAGCUGGUUGGUAGAGAAUUCAGCCAUAACAAGUAAACAGAUUUGCAAGAAUUUCAAGCUUGCGUUGAAAAAGAGAAAAUUGCAGAGAAAGUGGAGAAUAAUCUUGCUGGCUCUGAUACCAUGAAAAGGUAAUGCCUACACGUUAUGACGUGAGGAAAUUUUUAUUUAUAGAAUCUGUACAAUCAUAGAAAUGGAAAGCACAUAUACAGAAUAUGGAAAGCAAAUAUACAGAGUAAAUGAAUAACUAUAAUUAUGGAGUAUCACUGAUAUCUUGGUCAUAAUUAGGGAACCAGAUUUGUCUCUAAUAUGAUGCAUUGCAAUAACAGACAUCUUGUCAGCUGGCAACAGAUCAAAAUACGGAGCAUAACCCUGCCUACUCUUCCCCGUUCCAAUCAACUCCUUCUCUUUCGCAAUUGCGUCUGUAAAAGGCUCAAACCAACCAAGGAACAAGCUCUUCAUAUAUGGCAAAUUAGGAGCCAACUUAUGCUCACACAUAUCCUUCAAAAGCUCCUUAUAUUCUUUCGUUGCCAGUUCCCAUGCUUCCGCCUCAAUCUUCACUUGCCUUCUCCUUUAGACCCUAUGCUUCCUUGACCCUAUUCCAGGGUUAGCAUGUAGCCUCCUCCUUCUAAAGUGCUCCUCUUUCUCCUCUUCUUUCCUCAUUUCUGGUAGCAAUUCUCGCACUUCAUCCGCACCAGACACGUCAUCUUCAACAUCUGUUGAUGACACUGCCUCAGCUACACUCACAUACCCUCUUGGACAAAAUCCACCACACCGAUUCCCAUUAGUACUAUCACUAUUUCUCAAAAAAAUAAAACUGGGUUUUCCCAUAAAAUCUUCAUGGGUUGAUAUUUCGCCAAUUGCUCGAAAACUCAGUCGUGGACUUGUGUUAUAAAGCGAAUGGAACUUGAGUUUCUCAAAAAAGAUGGGUUCUUUAGAGGCUCCUAAAAAGCUGUAAGUUCUUGGAAAUGAAGGGAAAUUGAGGGACUUUGAUUGGGAUUUCAAAGUGGCUUGUUUUGCGACGUUUCUCCACAUAACUGUGGAUGGUUUAGAGAUAGAAUUGUGGGUUUCUUAUCAAAAGUAAUCAAAGGAUCAAAAUUUUUGGUAGAAAAUAUAUGGGAGUUGGCCCUCUAAUUAAAGGAAAUGAAAAAAAGAAAGAAAUGGAAUUGAAGUGAUUGAGAGAUGGAUUAAAAUGCGCGGGUAAUGCAAGUUGAGAAAGGAAAUGAGUUCAUAGAGAGGGUAUGGUAGUGGUAUUAGCAUACCGGCCGCCCUAAACCCUGCAUAAACCUUCUUUGGGGUUUUUGGCCAAAUCGUCUUGUUUGUUUCUCUCUUUUCACUACUUGUGUUGCCAUGAAUCCAGGACUAGAAGGGGCAUUUGUAUAAUCUCAAAAGUUUCCAAGGGCUUGGGGUUAUAAAUUGCAAGUCGUGGGUGGAUUCCUAAGAUAAAGUUGGGCCAAUUUGAAAUAACAAAGAAAAAUAAUUUUGGCAUAUAAUUUUAUUAAUCUUUAUUGUUUGUAAUUUGCAGAGCAUAAUUAGGAAUGUAGAAUUAAAUUUUAUUAUUUUUGUCUCAAACCAGUUACAAAUGUAGCAAGUCCAAUUUUGGCGUAAGUGAUUAUAUAUAUUAAUAUUUAUGUGUUUAUAUAGUUGUAAAUAUAAAGCUAUUAAUAAUAAAAAUUGUUGGUGCACCUAAGAGAAAAGUAUAGAAGUUUAUUAAUUACUAAAGAAAUACCUUCCGAAAUUCAUAUUCUAUUUAAAAGCUUGCCUACCAAAGCGACAAUUUGUCAGGCUAAAUUAUUAUUUUUUUUGUUAGAGUAUGUUGUGUUUGUUUAGUAAAAAAAAUAAAAAUAUAUUUAACUAAAAAAUAAAAGGAAAUAUAUAAAAUUCAAAACAUAAAUUAUAUGUCCAUACAUUCCUUCUGUUUUUUUUUGUUUUUAUCUUUUUUUAUUUUAAAAUAAUAAUAAUCAAACACCAUUUUUUAUUGAAUUUAAAAAUAGUGAGUGAACUUGGAGGAAUCCAACCGCAAAUAUAGAGGAAGAAAAAAACAUUCAGCUUAUUUACAAAUCAUUUUCAAAAGAAGAAAAAUUGAAAAACUCUUUAAUUCAUUCAUUGUAUCAACUUGAAAAAUAAGUCUUUGUAAAAAAAAAUUAAUAAAAAUUUUCUUGAGUUGCAAGAUUUAUGUGAAUUCAAGAAUAACUGAAAAUUUGGCAAAUUGAAUCCAACAAUAAUAUUACCACAAUAAUAAAUUUAUGUGAGAAUUGUUUAGAAUGAUUAUAAUGUAUGUAUACAGCUCGGUCGCAUGUAAGAUCAAUUGUCAUGUAUUUUGAAUGUAAAAUGCAUAUUAUUAAUAUUAAAAAAUAAUAUAAAUCAUAUUUUGAAACCUCAAUAAAUAGUUUAAGCCACCGAGUUAAAUUGAUUUUUUGUCAUUAUAUCAGAGCUUUAAUGACCAAACGGUCACGAAUUCAAAUCUCAUCAUCCUCAUUUAUUUAAUAAAAAUUAAACAUAAGAUAGUGUGACGUUAUGCAAAUUCAAGUCCAAAAUGCUUCCACUUGAAAGGAGUGUUAGAAAAUAAUAUAAAUCAUAUCUUGAGACCUCACCUAACAGUUUAAGCUAAUCCAUUAAACAUAAAACGUAGUUAUUGUAUUUAAAUUUUAAUAAAAAAUUAAAUUAAUGAGUUAAGAUUUUGUUGAAAAAUAUUUUUUUGCAUGAAUAUUAAUUAUAGCAUGAAAUAUUAAAAUACUUAAAAUUAAUUAUAGAUAAAUAAAAAAUUAAUUUUAAAGAAUUCUGAAUGAAAUUGAUGAAAAAAAAAAUAUAUUGAUAAGAAAUUAUUGGUUUUAUCUUUUAGAAAUAUAUAUUGUUUUUAAUUUAAAUCUAACACAUACACCCAAAACCAGAGUUAAAAAAAUAGGCAGAAUAGCGAUUCCAAAAUAAUGGUUGAAAUUUUCCAGAGCAAUCCUUCCAUCCGCAAACAUGGGAUUAUCCUAAAUUUAAGAAGAAAAUCCAUACAUAGUAAAAUGUGAAUCUAAUUACCCCAAACCAAAACCAUGAGCAAAAACUGAUGAAGAUCUUCAAGCUAAAGCAAGUUAAAUUCCUAACCAAAACCCAGGGAGCUGCAGCUGCUGCAGCUGCUGCUGGAGCACCUGCUGCCGCUGCCGGAGCACCUGCCACCGCACCUGCCAGAGCACCUGCCGCCGCACCUGCCGGAGCACCCGCUGCUGGAGCUUCUGCUGGAGCGGCUGCUCAUCGAGCUGCUGCUGCGGCCACUGCUGGAGCCCCUGCUGCUGGAGCUUCUGCUGCUGAUCGAGCAUCAGGUUAUGCUUGAGCUGCAGCAGCUGCUCCUCGAGCAGCUGCUGCCGCAGCUCAGGUAUAGUCAAACUGUACAUGGAAUCGAUGUUACAUGUUUUGUUGGGUGUUAAAAAAAAAUUUAAUAAAAAAUUUAUAGUUAGAUUUUCAACAUGUUUUUGUAUAUAAAAAAUUUUAAGUGAAAAUAAAAAAAAAAUAUGCAUAAAUAUAAUCAAAUAAAUCAAGAAUUAUGUGUGUUAAUAAGUAAAAAAAAAAAAAAAACAACUAUAAACUAUAACUAAAAAUAAAAGUGAAAAAAUCGAGAAACAAGUGUAAAUUAAGAUAUUUAAUUUUGAAAGAUGAAAUAUUUACGCGAUUAUAUUUACUAAAUUUAUUAAUUAAAACAAAUUUUUUAUUUAAUUAAACGAUAAUCAAAAUAGACAUACUCACUAAAUUUAUUGAAUAAAAUAAAAUGAAAAAUAAUAAUAUGUAAGGCUGCACAUUUUAGAAAUAUUAUUUAAAAAUAAAAAUUUUUAUUUUCAAGAAUAAAGUUCAUCUAUACAAAAAAUUAAAAAAAUUAUAAAUGAAUCAGAAAAACUUUCUCAAAAAUUAAAUGCAUAACUAAAAAAUAACUGUUAUUUCAAAGAGGAUCUCUAAAUAACAUAUAAAAAAAGAGAAGAGAUAUUAAUCUAAAUAUAAUUUUUUAAAAAAAAAAACAUAUAAAAGAAAAAAAAGAAGAAGCAAAUGUCAGGUGUUGUUAGGACUAGUAAGUCAAGCCAGUCCAAUUGCCGCAUUUUGUUAGGGCCCACGCCCACUACCCUUUUUUUUUUUUGUUGCAAGAUGUUUGUGAAAAAAAAUAAGAUGAUGCUCUUUUAUAGACCAGAUAUUUUUUUCUCUUACAAAAAAGUUGUGCAUGCAUGUUUUUUCAAUGCAAUUUUUUAUAUAAAAAAAUUUAAACUGUAAAUUAAAAAGCAAAUACAUACAUGUAAUCAAAUAAAUUGAUAACUAUGUGAAUUAAUAAUAAUAAAAAUAUAUUAAUGAUAACUAAAAAUAAAAUUAAAAAAAUCAAAUGUGUUAAUAAACGGAACAUUUACCUAGAUAUAUUUUUUGAAUUUAUUUAUUAAAAUUAAUCUUUUUAUUCAAUCUAAAAAUAUUAAAAAAAACACAUGUAUUAAAUUGAUUAAAUAAAAUAAAGAUAGAAAAAAUAUUAUGCAAGGUUGUUGUACAUGUUAUGUUAUCUGAAAAUAAAUAUUUUUAUUUUUUAAAUAAAGUUCUUUUAUACAAAAAGAUAAAAAAAAUUAUUGAUGAAUCAUAAUAAGUUUUUUAAAGAUUAAAUACAAACAACACCAUAAAAAACAAUAGCUAUCCAAAAAUAAAUAAAUAAACAAAAAAAAUCACAGAUGAGGAAUAUUAAUUGAAACAUAAAUUUAAAAAAUAUUUUAAAAAAGAUAUAUAAACAAUAUCAGUAAAAAAAAGCAAUAUUAGAAAAAAAAAACAUUGUUUUGUUGUUGUGGCUUAACUCGUUAAAUCCGUGACCCAGAGCAUGAACUCAACCGGGUUCAAUCUUGCUUUCCCUUUAAAUUCGUAUUCAACCUUUAACAGAAAAGAAAUUAAACAGGUGACCUAGACCAUGAGUUCAAACAGACUCUAUAUUGUUUUCUCUUAAAUUUAUAUUCAACCUUUAAAAACAAAUACAUGCAACACCAUCAAAAAACAAUUUAUAUUCAAAAAAGGUUAAAUAAACAAAACAAAUCACAGUUGAGUGAUAGUAAUUGAAACAUAAAUUGAAAAUGAUCUAAAAAAGGAUAUAUAUAUAUAUAUAUAUAUAUAUAUAUAUAUAUAUAUAUAAAGAUAUCAGUAAAAAAAAAAGCAACAUUAGAAAAAACAAUUGUCCGGUUAUUGUGGCUUAACUCAUUAAACUCGUAACUCAGUUCAUGAAUUCAACCUAGUUCAAUAUUGUUUUCCUUAAACCUUAGAAAAAAUUAAAUAUGUGACCCGGACCAUGAAUUCAACGAGGUUCAAUAAUUGUUUUCUUUUAAAUUUAUAUUCAACUUUAAAAAAAAUUCAAAAAUUAAAAAUGCACAACACCAUAAAAAAAUCAAUCUUUAUAAAAAAACCUCAACCGGGUUGAAUUGUUUUUUCUUAAAUUUAUACUCAACCUUUAAGAAAAACUUGUAAUCUGGAUUAUGCACUCAGCUAGUUCAAUAUUUUUCUCCAUUUGAAUUUAUAAUAAAUCUAAAAAAAAUAAAGUAAACAAUAUCCUCCACAGUAAAACAUGUCGGUUUAAUCCGGAUCAUAAACUUAACUAAGUUUAAUAGUAAUUUUUCUUAAAUUCAUAAUCUACCUUGAAAAAAAAAAACCUUGUAACCCCAUUGUGUACUACCUUGCACGGUGUUUUUCCCAUGAAAAAAAAAACAGAUUUGUUAACAUUAAGUUCUGAAAGUCGAUAUUUCAGCAUUCCCAGUUUCAUUUACUUGAAGUGGUUGAUAAGUCGAGCUACACACACACAAAAGAAGAAGUAAUGAUUACCUUUUCGAUCCAGAUGAAAUCUCAACUUCAUUGAGAAUAUCCAUCCAUCUUUGUACCUUCUCCUCGUUUUCCCUGAGACUUUUUCCAAUCUUAUCAAAGACAAUUGUGUAACUCUCUGUUUGAUCAUGUAUCUUUGAUUGUUUGACAUCACAAGAAACUGGAAACACAAUGUCCGAUCUCAUCUCAUCCAUGAAUCCGACAAUCUUGACAAGUUCUUCAAAGCACCAUGGUAAAGAAGCACAAUCUCUUGCAAAUAUAAUAAUUGACAGCCCUGAUUCUUCAAUGGCCUCAAAGAGUCUUGAUCUAAUUGCCAUUACUUUCUCUCGUUCCUUCCCGAAUGGGAAAAUUAAUCUCCGGGCUUGAUCUGCGGCUCUGAUGACAGGGAAAACAUUGGCCAUCCAUUGAUGGUACGACGAAGAAAAAGCUAAAGAAGCUUUAUACGAAGAAGCUGCUUCUUUGCUUGUAACAAUAAAAUGGGCAGAAGAUGGUCGUGGUGUAAUAUACAAAGAAGAUAACAAACAGACACCACAAUUCUUCACCUUUACUCCUGGUUGGAAAGAAUGAAAUGACAACUCAAUGUUGCUAAAGGAUUCAUGCUUCCAUUCUUUAAGCUCUUUAAGAUGAUCAAAAGAUAGAUAGAAUAGCCAAAUAUGAUCUGACAGAACUUGGAUAGAGUUACAACUAAUACACAUCGGAGAAGGAUAAUUCUCUCUUCCAUUGGCUUUGAAAUGACAAAAAAGAGAAGGACUUUCACCAUUUGCACUGAAUGCAACACACGCAGCAAACCCCAUGCUCCAACUAGGCACUUGCACACUAAUUGAAGAUCCUUUACUUUGAUGGUUAAACCAGCCUGGAAUUUUAUUUCCUGGAACAGCGACACCAAAUCCAGGUCUUGGAUUAGACAAACCCUGUACCAUGAAAAACAAAAAUGUUAGAUAGAUAGAGGGAGAGGGAGAGAGAUACAAAAAGGUUGGGGUAUGAUUAAGAGAAGACCUGGAGGUAUCUUUCAAGCAUCGUCAACCCCAUGCUGUCUUGGCCAUUAUGAUUGUACAAUUCCCAGCAAUUAAGACAUAUGAACUCUGAGAUUUUGGAACUCCUUAGCUUUAUCAGAUCUGGAAUUGUUUUUAGGCUUAUACAACCAUUCAAAUAUACCGUUUGAACUUUAGACGGAACUUGAGGCAAUGAUUCAAGCAUCGUGCAAUCCUCUAAGACAAGCGUUUCCAGUUCAUAAAGCAGAUUUAUGCUCCUAGGCAGGCUAACAAAGUUAUUCCGGCUCAGAUCUAAAGACGUCAAUGAAGAUAAGUAGCCAAUAUCUUCAGGAAGUGCCCCUUCUCUUAGAUUGCAAGCGCGUAAACACAGUACUUCUAAAGAACACAGACCAGACAAAGAAGGCAGCACAGCUAGUCUUUUGAAUCCAUCCAAAGAUAAUACUUUAAGAUUCUUUAAAAGAAAAAGGGAUGCUGGCAGUUGUCUUAUUGAAGUUCCACUUACAUCAAACACCUCCAAACUUUUAACUUUCCCCAAAUUCUCUGGUAUAUUUUGAAGUUCAGAGCAGCCAGACAGAUCAAGUUUUUUAAGGGAUUUCAAACAAGGUAUGCUACUCGGAAUGCUUUCAAGGUUCUUGCAGUUGCUCAUGCUCAAUACUUCUAAGCCAAUCAAAUGACGAAUUGAUGAAGAUAGUUUUGUAAUACCAGUCUCAUCCAAAUGAAGCACCAUCAAUUUGUUCAUGUUUCCUACUAUAUCUGGAAACUUCUCAAGUUUUGAGCAUCCAUCAAGAAUGCAAACUUUAAGUGAUUCCAUUUCAAGGUUGCUAGGGAGAAUCCUAAUACUUACACAAUCCAUAAGAUUCACAUAUUGAAGCUUCUUGUGACGUGCAAGUGAUGGAUGGACCUCAAACAAACUUGUACAACCUUCAAGAAUUAGGUUCUCGAGAUUCGGAAUUCCUGUAAAAUCUGGAGUCUUGAUCAGGUCUAGUGAGUUGCUGAGAUUGAUGAUUUUCAAAUUAACUGCACUCUGCAAUCAGGCAGGGGAGAAGAAUCAUGGAUGCUACUAUCAUAAAUAUAUAGGAAAACAAUAAAAAGAAAUACAAAGGCCCUUAAAUUAGGUGAUCUCACCUUACACCCAUACCAUAAUUGCUCAAUGCUACUGUUAGCCAUGUGAAGUUCAACUAGCUCAUCCACCUGUAAACCAGCUGGCAAUGAUUUUGAAGGGUAAGAAUGCCAUUCAAGAAAUCGUAGCUUAUUGGAAAGAUCUUCAAGUCCUUCAGAAAGCUGCACGUUGUUGAUUUUGAGCAAUCUUAGUUUGGUCAUUUUAGAGAAGGCUUUCAUGUUCCAUUGUGCCUCUUUUAUUCCAGGCAUGUCCAGGAAAAUGGCUUCUAUUUUUUCUUUUCCCUAUCAACCAAAAGGGGCAAACAAGUAAAAAACAAACACAAAGUAGAGAUGGAGCGUAAAUUAAAAUAAACUUCAUGAAAUCUUAUGGAUAAUGUUCUCUAUUAGCUACUCACUGUGUUGUCCAUCAGUGCAAGGCAGACAUCCUCGUAUGUCCACAAUCUACUGCGCCUUCCAGGCUCUUCAGGGGAUUCACAACGAACAAUUUCCUUACCCAUUAUCUGUAAUAAAUUAUGCAUCCAGACUUGAUCCCGAGAGACACUUAUGAGAGAUCUCUCAAUAAGAACUGGUAUUCCAAUACCUGCAUGGAAUCCACGGCUUUCAAGUAUCCUUGUUAUUCGAUCAAUUUUAAACCCCAUCAAGAAACAUGCAAUGUCUAAAAAUAUUUUCUUAUCUGAUUCAUGGAGACCAUCAAAACUAAUGCGAAGCACAUCAAUAAUUUUGCCGUCAGGAAUCUCAUUCAUUCUAUUAAUGGCACCUCUCCAUUCAGGGAUACUUCUUGCAUACAAAAACGAACCUAUAACUUCAAUAGCUAGUGGAAGGCCAUUAGCAUAACCCACAACUUGCUUUGAUAGUUCCACGAAAUCUUCGGCAGGCUGGUCAUUUUUGAAAGCUUUUUGGCUAAAUAACAUAAGAGCAUCAUCAUCAUUCAAUUUUUCAGCCUCAUAAAUUUUAGUAUCAUCAUUUCCAGUUAACACAUUUGUAUCUCUGCUUGUUAUGAUAAUUCUGCUCCCUGGACCAAAC
rnacentral:lncRNA from 1 species